AAGUUGUUUAGUGAAGCAACUAAAUGAUGUUUGUAUAUUUAAGUUUACUUCCCUUGUCUUUUUCUUAAUUAUUGGUUAUUUGCAUCUGUGUUUCGUCACUCUCCCUGAUUGCCUACUGUAUAUUUAUACCCUCGGUCUCCCCUCAGUUCUCUGUUGAUUAUCAGUCCUUCCUCUCUUGGUUUGGACUUACGGACUUUGCUUAUCAGUUGCCAUUUGGACUUCUCUGGUACACCUGAAUAAAUGUUUGUCUUUUUCUUUAUGAACUCUGUCCCACAACUCGUCCUUUGGGUGCUCAAUUCCACAUCAUAUGACACUAUGUGGCUUAGCAGUGGAUGUUACGACAAAUCGACCAUCGUAAAAAUGUCAUGGUCCGUGGUCCUGUGUCUGUGGAAUGCGUGAUGCUCGGGUAGCCACACCCCCGGGCUGGGCCAUCACCAGCACACCUGCUCUCCAUCACGGUGACUACACGGAGAUCUGCUUAACCCGGCGCUGACGGAUGCUCCACGCCAGUCCGUUAGUCACCCCCACAGUGGUUUCUACUCGGCGUCUGCUACCUGCCUGUCCUCCGGCUCAACUGGAUCUCGCGGUGCUCACCUGGCCCAUUCGCCAUUCCCACGGACUUCCUGCCCCCACGGACUGCCACACUUCCCUCCCGAGCUCCCACGGUCCCGUUCUAUCGUAAGCCUCCUACUCUAACUCAGUCCAGAUGUGUUUUCCCCACUUCCCGGCUCCCUAGUAAUCAUCUCCCCUUUCUAUUGCAGCCUCCCACCGUCCCGAUCCCGGCUUAAGAUAAGAUAAGAUAAGAUAAGAGAUAA